rnacentral:tRNA from 1 species
UCCCUGGAGGACUAGUGGUUAGGCCACAGCGCUCUCACCACUGUGACCUGGGUUCAAUUCCUGGCCAGGGAA